GAGGUGGGCGAGAGAGCUUUCGAGAGCUAUGUAGUGGUGUGAUCCUGCCGUGUGACCACGCAGUGUAGCCGGUAAAGGGGUGGCCUGUUGAGGCCUCUCUAUCUAGGCUAGGAAAGGGCUGAGCACCGGGAGAACUGCAUACGUAAGGGCCAGCAGGGGCCGCUAGUAAGGCGAGACAGGAACUGAAGUCGGUGCGGUUUAGUGAAGAGGCUCAGGACACUCGUCCCGCUCUCUUCCCCCAAAAGGAGGGCUUAGCAACACUAAACACCUCCAGCUGUAGCAUUUCUAAACGUGGAAAGGGCCACUUAGCUCCGCGGAAGGCGGAUGGCCGGUUGCUCCAAGAGUUUCCCUGCCGUAGUAGUGUCUGUGUCUAACGUUAAGAACGUCCUAGUUCUUGGGCAGCAGAUGUUAUCUAAUCAAGGAAACAUUACUAGUGUUCCCCCAGCGGGAUCCUGUUUUUACUAGUGAUGGGUACACUGUAUUAAGUGCUUAUUGUGAGCAAGGCACUUUGGAACACGCUGUAUUCCAUCGCAACUUUAUAAAGUUUUUGUUUAAAUUACUAUUUUACAAAUGAAAUGACUAAAGGCAGUUAGCAUUGGAGACAGAUUUGAACCCAGUCCUUUUGGAUUUCUCGCCCCUUGUCUUAACUUUUGUGCCCUUUCCAGAGAGUCCAUGUUUGCUGGCUGACAUUUCACUUCUAAGUAUUUUCUCAUACUGCAUAAAGAUUCAGAUGUAUACAUGAUGCUGUUAAUUUAAGUUUCUUUAAUACUCCAUUAAGCUCCAUUAAGUGAAAUUUUGAGUUACUUAUAAAAGACAGUAGAGUUAUAUAGAGUUGCUUUCCAUAUAAUCCUAACCUCAAUUUAAAGAGAUUAAAUUUUUAGGUAGUUGGAACGUCUUCCUAGUUUGUCAGCAUUAAUUUUCCAGUCAUAAAUUUGCAGUAGAGAAUAUUAACCUAUGCAAUUUUUUCCUUUUGGAUAUUAUUGAAAUUUUAUUUAUUAUAGAUAUUUGAAAAUAUCUCAUGAAUCCUAGACAAAGAAGCACAGUUAUACUUCAAUAUAUGGCAUUGGAUUCAUGACCAAAUCUAGUAUUUUUAAUUAUAUUUUAAAUAAAAUCCAUGUAUUUUUGUGUGUACUUGGCCUAUAUUGUAUCGGAUAGUAUUGGGUUGUCUCCUGCUAUUUUCAUCUCUAUUUAUC
rnacentral:lncRNA from 1 species